ensembl:lncRNA
AUUCAAGGAGGCUGACAUCUUGCUAGUUCCGGUUUCAGGAGCCAAUUAGUAAAUGCCCGUGACGGUCUGUGACGUUUAAGAUACGGGAGGAUAGUUAUUUUUGAAUGAGCAUGGCCUUAUUUCUAUAACAGCAUAUUGGAUGACUAUCAUUCAUUUGCCAUUCACCAGCACCGCCUUGCACACUCUUGCCUGUAUCUAUCUGAUCUGGGGUGUAAUCAUUCGUCCAACAGUUGCAAACAAGAGUUUCUAUUGGACAAAUUCUGGUGCUGCUCCCAGGUGCUGAUCCAGGGCGCCGCUCCCAGGUGCCGCUCCCAGGUGCCGCUCCAGGUGCUGCUCCAGGUGCCGCUCCCAGGUGCUGCUCCCAGGUGCUGCUCCCAGGUGCUGAUCCCAGGUGCUGCUCCAG